ACGGGUGAGUAAUAUAUCGGAACGUGCCCUAGAGUGGGGGAUAACUAGUCGAAAGACUAGCUAAUACCGCAUACGAUCUAAGGAUGAAAGUGGGGGAUCGCAAGACCUCAUGCUCCUGGAGCGGCCGAUAUCUGAUUAGCUAGUUGGUGGGGUAAAAGCCUACCAAGGCGACGAUCAGUAGCUGGUCUGAGAGGACGACCAGCCACACUGGGACUGAGACACGGCCCAGACUCCUACGGGAGGCAGCAGUGGGGAAUUUUGGACAAUGGGGGCAACCCUGAUCCAGCAAUGCCGCGUGAGUGAAGAAGGCCUUCGGGUUGUAAAGCUCUUUUGUCAGGGAAGAAACGGUUUUGGCUAAUAUCCAGAGCUAAUGACGGUACCUGAAGAAUAAGCACCGGCUAACUACGUGCCAGCAGCCGCGGUAAUACGUAGGGUGCAAGCGUUAAUCGGAAUUACUGGGCGUAAAGCGUGCGCAGGCGGUUGUGUAAGACAGAUGUGAAAUCCCCGGGCUCAACCUGGGAAUUGCAUUUGUGACUGCACGGCUAGAGUGUGUCAGAGGGGGGUAGAAUUCCACGUGUAGC
rnacentral:rRNA from 1 species